AUACGUAGGGGGCGAGCGUUGUCCGGAAUGAUUGGGCGUAAAGGGCGCGUAGGCGGCCCGGUAAGUCUGGAGUGAAAGUCCUGCUUUUAAGGUGGGAAUUGCUUUGGAUACUGUCGGGCUUGAGUGCAGGAGAGGUAAGUGGAAUUCCCAGUGUAGCGGUGAAAUGCGUAGAGAUUGGGAGGAACACCAGUGGCGAAGGCGACUUACUGGACUGUAAAUGACGCUGAGGCGCGAAAGUGUGGGGAGCAAACAGGAUUAGAUACCCUGGUAGUCCACACUGUAAACGAUGAAUGCUAGGUGUAGGGGGUAUCGACCCCUUCUGUGCCGCAGUUAACACAAUAAGCAUUCCGCCUGGGGAGUACGGCCGCAAGGUUGAAACUCAAAUGAAUUGACGGGG
rnacentral:rRNA from 1 species